GAUGAACGCUGGCGGCGUGCCUAAUACAUGCAAGUCGAGCGAACAGACGAGGAGCUUGCUCCUCUGACGUUAGCGGCGGACGGGUGAGUAACACGUGGAUAACCUACCUAUAAGACUGGGAUAACUUCGGGAAACCGGAGCUAAUACCGGAUAAUAUAUUGAACCGCAUGGUUCAAUAGUGAAAGACGGUUUUGCUGUCACUUAUAGAUGGAUCCGCGCCGCAUUAGCUAGUUGGUAAGGUAACGGCUUACCAAGGCAACGAUGCGUAGCCGACCUGAGAGGGUGAUCGGCCACACUGGAACUGAGACACGGUCCAGACUCCUACGGGAGGCAGCAGUAGGGAAUCUUCCGCAAUGGGCGAAAGCUUGACGGAGCAACGCCGCGUGAGUGAUGAAGGUCUUCGGAUCGUAAAACUCUGUUAUUAGGGAAGAACAAAUGUGUAAGUAACUAUGCACGUCUUGACGGUACCUAGUCAGAAAGCCACGGCUAACUACGUG
rnacentral:rRNA from 1 species